rnacentral:rRNA from 1 species
GACGAACGCUGGCGGCGUGCUUAACACAUGCAAGUCGAACGGAAAGGCCUGCUUUCCCUUGUGGAUUGCGGGUACUCGAGUGGCGAACGGGUGAGUAACACGUGAGUGAUCUGCCCCCAACUUGGGUAUAAGCCUGGGAAACUGGGUCUAAUUCCCGAUAGGACUGCAGGGUGGUGCCGUUGGUGGCAAACGAUUUUCUAGUGGUUGGGGAUGAGCCCGCGGCCUAUCAGGUUGUUGGUGGGGUAAUGGCCUACCAAGGCGGCGACGGGUAGCCGGCCGGUGAGGGUGCACGGCGACACUGAGACUGAGAUACGGCCCAGACGCGUGCCGGAGGCAGGAGUGGGGAAGAUUUCACAAUGGGCGGAAGCGUGAUGCAGCGACGCCGCGUGGGGGAUGUCGGGCUUCGGGUUGUAUGCUCCUUUCGACCGCGAGGAAUCCACCUGGUUGGGAGGGUGGUGACGGUAGUGGUAGAAGAAGCACCGGCUAACUACGUG